CCUGGUGGCUCAGAGAUUAAAGCGUCUGCCUCCAAUGCAGGAGUCCUGGGUUCGAUCCCUGGGUCAGGA
rfam:TPA: Bos taurus chromosome 29, whole genome shotgun sequence.